AGAGAGAGAGGAGAGGAAGAAGAGAGAGAGGAGAGGAAGAAGAGAGAGAGAAGAGAGGAGAGGAAGAAGGGAGAGAGAGGAGAGGAAGAAGAGAGAGGGAGGAGAGGAAGAAGGUAGAGAGAGGAGAGGAAGAAGAGAGAGAGGAGAGGAAGAAGAGACAGGGAGGAGAGGAAGAAGGGAGAGAGAGGAGAGGAAGAAGAGAGAGAGGAGAGGAAGAAGGGAGAGAGGAGAGGAAGAAGAGAGAGAGAGGAGAGGAAGAAGAGAGAGAGGAGAGGAAGAAGAGAGAGAGAGGAGAGGA
ensembl:lncRNA